AGAACGGGUCAUGGAAUCACUCUUCUCUGCUAUAUUUUUCCCACCUUCUGUCUAUACAGACUCUGGACAGAAGAUGGGAAAAAUAUAGCAGAGAAUGUCUCGGAUAAGUUUGGUCUGUGUGAAGACCUCAGAGCGACUCGCAGACACAUCUAGUCUGUCUGGUAGCUUUGGAGCAACUCCCCAAUUAAUCACUGUCUUCUUAAUAACUACUUGCUUUUUCUCCCCUUUUCGUUUUCCCUCGUUACAUAUCACACUUUUCCUCUUUCCACCACCUGCAUGUCAUCUAGUUCUCUCCUGUCAAAACUGAUAGCUGUGUUUAUUUUCUUUAUUAAAUCAUCGAGGACAGAGGACUUCAGAUCUGUAGAAAUAACAUUCAAGUGGGUCGUUUGUCGUGCAAAAGUGUCACCUAUGACUAAGUACGGAGUGAUGUUUUCCAGAAGGUCCAAAUUCCAUGUCUUAACCCUCUUUGUUAUAUAAAACUUUUUUUUUCUACUAAUUUCAACAUCCAAACUACAUUUUUAUAUAUAUAUGGAAUUGAUCUGUAAUUGGAUUGGCCUGUUAAGACAAGCCAUGAUAGGUCUGAUCACCUUCCAUUUAUCUAUAUAUUUAACUAUAUAUGUUCAUAUUUAUUUUAUGAAGGUUUUCUGUGACCUCACAGUAAUAAAGAUUUUAUUUUAUUAUGAUGAAGAGAAAAUGUUUUCAAACAUAUUGGCAAAAUGUUAAAGUAUAUAGUAAUACAGAGAGUAAUGUAGUUUAAUUAAAACUGAAGUAAACUAUUUAUCUAUAAUGUAAAAC
rnacentral:lncRNA from 1 species